CCUACGGGAGGCAGCAGUGGGGAAUAUUGCACAAUGGGCGCAAGCCUGAUGCAGCAACGCCGCGUGAGGGACGAAGGCCUUCGGGUUGUAAACCUCUUUUAGUAGGGAAGAAGCGACUGGGUUUUCCUGGGAGUGACGGUACCUGCAGAAAAAGCACCGGCCAACUACGUGCCAGCAGCCGCGGUAAUACGUAGGGUGCAAGCGUUGUCCGGAAUUAUUGGGCGUAAAGAGCUCGUAGGCGGUUUGUCGCGUCUGCUGUGAAAACCCGAGGCUCAACCUCGGGCCUGCAGUGGGUACGGGCAGACUAGAGUGCGGUAGGGGAGAUUGGAAUUCCUGGUGUAGCGGUGGAAUGCGCAGAUAUCAGGAGGAACACCAAUGGCGAAGGCAGAUCUCUGGGCCGUAACUGACGCUGAGGAGCGAAAGCAUGGGGAGCGAACAGGAUUAGAUACCCUGGUAGUCCAUGCCGUAAACGUUGGGAACUAGAUGUGGGGACCAUUCCACGGUCUCCGUGUCGCAGCUAACGCAUUAAGUUCCCCGCCUGGGGAGUACGGCCGCAAGGCUAAAACUCAAAGGAAUUGACGGGGGCCCGCACAAGC
rnacentral:rRNA from 1 species